rnacentral:rRNA from 1 species
AUUGAACGCUGGCGGCAGGCCUAACACAUGCAAGUCGAGCGGAUGAAGGGAGCUUGCUCCUGGAUUCAGCGGCGGACGGGUGAGUAAUGCCUAGGAAUCUGCCUGGUAGUGGGGGAUAACGUCCGGAAACGGGCGCUAAUACCGCAUACGUCCUGAGGGAGAAAGUGGGGGAUCUUCGGACCUCACGCUAUCAGAUGAGCCUAGGUCGGAUCAGCUAGUUGGUGGGGUAAAGGCCUACCAAGGCGACGAUCCGUAACUGGUCUGAGAGGAUGAUCAGUCACACUGGAACUGAGACACGGUCCAGACUCCUACGGGAGGCAGCAGUGGGGAAUAUUGGACAAUGGGCGAAAGCCUGAUCCAGCCAUGCCGCGUGUGUGAAGAAGGUCUUCGGAUUGUAAAGCACUUUAAGUUGGGAGGAAGGGCAGUAAGUUAAUACCUUGCCGUUUUGACGUUACCAACAGAAUAAGCACCGGCUAACUUCGUG